GCUGGGCGUGGUGGCGCGUGCCUGUAAUCCCAGCUACUCAGGAGGCUGAGGCAGGAGAAUCACUUGAACCUGGGAGGCAGAGGUUGCAGUGAGCCAAGAUUGCACCACUGCACUCCAGCCUGGGUGACAGAGUGAGACUCUGUCUCAA
rnacentral:sRNA from 1 species